CAGGUGAAUAGAUCGUUUAAGUGCACGCAAGGUUUAUAGCAACAAUUCUAUACAAAACAUACAUACAUAAGUAUGUAGAGAUAUGUAAAUGUAGCAGUGCACAGUGAAGAGAUUAAUACAUUUAUAUGAGAAUGAUAGAUUUGAUUUGGGGUUCGCAUGGAAGAAAAUAUUUUUUUAAUUGUUCGCAACGUUUCACCGCCAAAACUCAAUUAAUAACUCAUUAAUUCACCCACUGACCGCUAAGUACCGUCGCACAGAAUACCGGACACGUUGUUGAGCGGUUGACAAAACAUCGGCGAAUGAGUUUGGCUACGAGAAAAAUUUAUGAUUUCGAAUAUUUCAACACAAAAAACUAUAUACUACAUCAAAAAAGAAAAUUAAAAGCGAAAAAUCACACACACCAAAUACCAAAUGCGAUACAUACGGAUAAAUGCCAAAACAAUAACAAUAAUAAUGCGCGAGCAACGCUAACCAAAUCAUAACAGAAAUACAUAAAAACAAUAAAAGCAACAAUUACAACAAUAACAAUAGCGAAACAACUCAAAAAUCUUCACGAAGAGCCGCAAUCGCACGCUUGCAGAGCAGCAAUGCAGCAUCCCAUAGCAAUUGCUGCCAACUAUUGUAGCAAACAACUAACAACAACAAUGCCACCAGCAAAGGCACUAACCGCUCGCAACUACAUGUGUACGCCACAAUAGCCAAGUAACAACACAAUUAUUGGCGGCCAAUACACAAGAGUGAAAAAUCGAAAAGCCACAACAACAACAACAACAACAGGCGACAUAGACACAUACAAUAGCAAAAAGCAAUGAGAAAAAGCGUCAAGUGAACUUGAAGUAUCGACGCGUUUGUGGGAGAGGGUGGUGAGGUCAAGUGUAUGUGUUUAUGUGAAAAAGCAACAACAACAACGACAACAAUGUAAGUGAUAUUGAAAAGCCGUCGAAAAUUGUUUACAUCCCCGAUUGUAAUGCACAGAUGCGCUGAAAGUAUUCAUUAAUAAUAAUAACAACAAUAGCAACAAA